UACGUAGGGUGCGAGCGUUGUCCGGAAUUAUUGGGCGUAAAGAGCUCGUAGGCGGUCUGUCGCGUCUGCUGUGAAAGCCCGGGGCUUAACUCCGGGUCUGCAUUCGAUACGGGCAGGCUAGAGUUCGGUAGGGGAGAUCGGAAUUCCUGGUGUAGCGGUGAAAUGCGCAGAUAUCAGGAGGAACACCGAUGGCGAAGGCAGGUCUCUGGGCAUUAACUGACGCUGAGGAGCGAAAGCAUGGGGAGCGAACAGG
rnacentral:rRNA from 1 species